ACUCUCAUCAACAAACAACUAUUUUUUUCUUUAUCAACUCAUCAAAAUGAGACUAAUAAUUAGUGUAAAAGAUGAGGUACGAGUGUGACCCGCAAAAAUGAAACCAUUCUAGUUUGGUGUGUGGUGUGCCAUCAUUCCUGAAAACAAACCAAUGUUGUCUUUGCUCUACCAUUUUCUUCUUUUGUAGUAAUUUUUAAUGGCUUUCUUAAUUGUAUGUCAUGUUUCAUAUGUAUGAACCCUAUCUGUUCUGUUUCAUUUGUAAACUGUAGCGGCGGUUUGUCGCAAAGCCGGUGAGCCACUGAGUAUUGAGGAGAUCAUUGUGGCACCACCAAUGCCUGGUGAAGCUCGCAUUCGUAUUACAUGCUCCACUCUCUGUCAAACCGAUAUCAGUUUCUGGAACAUGCUGGUUGCCACUUGCCACCAUUUUUGGUCCCUCUAAAUGAUUUAUUGUGAUUUGGAACAUUUUUCUCAGCCAAUGCCUUCCCCAUACCACCUUUUCAUUUUCAUUGAAUUGCUGUAGAAUUUAGAUUACUUUUUCCUUUUUUUUUCUAUGGAAACUUCUGAAUGAUUUUUUUUAAGAAGCAUUUUCUGUGUUUUGAAGGACCAUCCUGCCAUUUAUCCAAGAAUUCUGGGUCAUGAGGCAAUAGGGGUUGGGGAAAAACAAUAGUUUUGGGAGUGGACAAGCCAGGAUCCAAGUUAAACCUUAGCUGUAGUGAGGUCCACGUUUGUGGGAAGAGCCUCAGGGGAUGCUUAUUUGGAGGACUCAAACCCAAGUCUCAUGUACCCAUUCUCCUUAGACGCUACAUGGACAAGCGGCGGUUUGUCGUAAAGCGGGUGAGGCACUGAGUAUUGAGGAGAUCAUGGUGGCACCACCAAUGCCUCGUGAAGCUCGCAUUUGUAUAUAUUAUAUGCUACUCUCUGUCAAACUGAUAUCAGUUUCCGGAACAUACAGGGCCCUCCUGCCAUUUUCCCAACAUUUCUGGGUCAUGAGGCAAUAGGUGGAGAGCGUAGGGGAGGAUGUUACUGAAGUUGCAAAAGGAGAAAUGUGUAACGUGGAUAAAGAAUGAAGAAAUUUUGGCGUGAAAUUCUGUUAGUAGUGAGGGACACGUGGCUCAGGAUCCGCAACACAAGGGAGGAGUUAGGCAUAGCACACGGUUGAGGAGAGAGAAUAUUAAGCUGAAGGAUUACACAUUUUCGGGGACGGGAGAUGAUUCUGUUGCUGGUUGACGGUCGUGGAUGAGCCCGAGAUCAUAGGUGUUCCAUAUUUCAUUGUCUUUGCUGUUUUUUUUACAUUCAAUGUUGAUUAUAGUUCUCUUUUCAUUGUAAUACAUUAUUGUGAGAAAUUGAUACGUUUCAUUGGUACUUUCAUUGAGCUUCCAUGGCUAAGAACACGCGUUUGAAGGAGUUGCAAACGGAAAUUUGUACACAUUCAGAUGGUAUUCGUCGUAUCGGUCAAACAAUGAAUCUGCGUUAUCAAGAGCAAAAUGAUAAGAUUCUCUAGAUCCAGACUUCUAUGGAUCAGAUGCAGUUAGCAAUGAAUCUGUUAUUGCAGAAUGCUUCUCAGCCUACUAGAAGUCCUUCGAACAAUGGCUCCCCGUUGGUGCCACCGAUUAAUACUUUCUUGCCUGUUAAGGAGAUCUUACUUGGAUUUUCUCAUUUCAAUGGAACGAUGCUGGUGGUGGAGUGGAUUUUCAAGGCAAAUAAAUUUUUCACUUAUCAUAAUACUCCUGAUGCGUCUAGAGUUAACAUUUGUUGCGAUGCAUUUUGAUAAGGAUGUAGUAGCAUGGUUUCAGAUG